GUAGGGGGGCAAGCGUUGUCCGGAAUUAUUGGGGCGUAAAGCGCGCGCAGGCGGUCUCUUAAGUCUGAUGUGAAAGCCCACGGGCUCAACCGUGGAGGGUCAUUGGAAACUGGGAGACUUGAGUGUAGGAGAGGAAAGUGGAAUUCCACGUGUAGCGGUGAAAUGCGUAGAUAUGUGGAGGAACACCAGUGGCGAAGGCGACUUUCUGGCCUACAACUGACGCUGAGGCGCGAAAGCGUGGGGAGCAAACAGGAUUAGAUACCCUGGUAGUCCACGCUGUAAACGAUGAGUGCUAGGUGUUAGGGGUUUCGAUGCCCUUAGUGCCGAAGUUAACACAUUAAGCACUCCGCCUGGGGAGUACGGCCGCAAGGCUG
rnacentral:rRNA from 1 species